rnacentral:rRNA from 1 species
GACGAACGCUGGCGGCGUGCUUAACACAUGCAAGUCGAACGGAAAGGCCCUGCUUUUGUGGGGUGCUCGAGUGGCGAACGGGUGAGUAACACGUGAGUAACCUGCCCUUGACUUUGGGAUAACUUCAGGAAACUGGGGCUAAUACCGGAUAGGAGCUCCUGCUGCAUGGUGGGGGUUGGAAAGUUUCGGCGGUUGGGGAGGGACUCGCGGCAUAUCAGCUUGUUGGUGGGGUAGUGGCUUACCAAGGCUUUGACGGGUAGCCGGCCUGAGAGGAGGACCGGCCACAGUGGAACUGAGAUACGGACCAGACUCCUACGGGAGGCAGCAGUGGGGAAUAUUGCACAAUGGGCGGAAGCCUGAUGCAGCAACGCCGCGUGCGGGAUGACGGCCUUCGGGUUGUAAACCGCUUUCGCCUGUGACGAAGCGUGAGUGACGGUAAUGGGUAAAGAAGCACCGGCUAACUACGUGCUAGCCGCCGCGGUAA